rnacentral:rRNA from 1 species
GACGGUGGGUGCAAGCGUUGUUCGGAUUUACUGGGCGUAAAGGGCGUGUAGGCGGUUGGUCAAGUCUGAUGUGAAAGCCCGGGGCUCAGCCCCGGAAGGGCAUCGGAAACUAGCCAGCUGGAGCGCGAUAGAGGAGGGUGGAAUUCCUGGUGUAGCGGUGAAAUGCGCAGAUAUCAGGAAGAACACCUAUGGCGAAGGCAGCUCUCUGGGACGGUACUGACGCUGAGACGCGAAAGCGUGGGGAGCGAACAGG